UACUUAUUGUUCUUGUAAGUG
ensembl:piRNA 21ur-1139 ncRNA